rnacentral:rRNA from 1 species
UAGAGUUUGAUCCUGGCUCAGAACGAACGCUGGCGGCGCGCCUAAUACAUGCAAGUCGAGCGAGAAGGUGUAGCAAUACACUUGUAAAGCGGCGAACGGGUGAGGAAUACAUGGGUAACCUACCAUCGAGUGGGGAAUAACCAGCCGAAAGGUUGGCUAAUACCGCGUACGCCUCCGAAUCUCCGGAUUGGGAGGGAAAGCCACGCUGUGAGUGUGGCGCUCAUUGAUGGGCUCAUGUCCUAUCAGCUUGUUGGUAGGGUAACGGCCUACCAAGGCUUUGACGGGUAGCUGGUCUGAGAGGACGAUCAGCCACACUGGCACUGCGACACGGGCCAGACUCCUACGGGAGGCAGCAGUAAGGAAUAUUGCGCAAUGGACGAAAGUCUGACGCAGCGACGCCGCGUGGGGGAUGAAGGUCUUCGGAUUGUAAACCCCUUUCGGGAGGGAAGAUGGAACGAGCAAUCGUUCGGACGGUACCUCCAGAAGCAGCCACGGCCAACUUCGUGCCAGCAGCCGCGGUAAUACGAAGGUGGCAAGCGUUGUUCGGAUUCACUGGGCGUACAGGGUGUGUAGGCGGUUUGGUAAGCCUUCUGUUAAAGCUUCGGGCCCAACCCGGAAAGCGCAGAGGGUACUGCCAGGCUAGAGGGCGGGAGAGGAGCGCGGAAUUCCCGGUGUAGCGGUGAAAUGCGUAGAGAUCGGGAGGAAGGCCGGUGGCGAAGGCGGCGCUCUGGAACGUACCUGACGCUGAGACACGAAAGCGUGGGGAGCAAACAGGAUUAGAUACCCUGGUAGUCCACGCCCUAAACUAUGGAUACUAAGUGGUCGGC